GCCUAGGGUAGAGGUGCCAAAGCAAAUAGUAGUUAAUCAGAGUCGGCAGAUGAAGAAGAUUAAUGAAAGGUGUUAGGCCGAAGAGAUAGCAUUUGCAGAUGCUUUUUCUGGUUAUAUAUAGAAUAUAUAUAUAACUGUCACAAAGUGUGAUGAGCUACAAGGUAC
rfam:Clostridium paraputrificum strain 373-A1 CP373A1_19, whole genome shotgun sequence.